CAAUAGCGUAUAUUAAAGUUGUUGCGGUAAAAAAGCUCGUAGUUGGAUUUCUGUUGAGAGCGACCGGUCCAUACCAUGUAUGCGUAUCUGGCUCGCUCUCGGCAUCCUCUCGAUAGACGUUACUGCGCUUGAUUGCGUGGUGCGGAUCUCGGGACUUUUACUUUGAGGAAAUUAGAGUGUUCACGGCAGGCUUUCGCCAGAAUACAUUAGCAUGGAAUAAUACUAUAGGAUCUUGGUUCUAUUUUGUUGGUUUCUAGAAUUGAGAUAAUGAUUAAUAGGGACAAUUGGGGGCAUUCGUAUCAACACGUCAGAGGUGGAAUUCUUGGAUUGUGUUGCGACGAACUACUGCGAAAGCAUUUGCCAAGGAUGUUUUCAUUGA
rnacentral:rRNA from 1 species